AGCGAGAGCAGGAGGCUCACAGUAUCCUCCAGGCUGAGAACAGUGAGUCCAUCACUCACCUGGAGGAAGAACAAUGAGAGGAAGAAGACUCUGAUUGACCAGAAGGAGUUACUAAAGGUCAAUCUGGCUGAAGGUGAGGAGAAACAGCAGAACCAUCAGGAGAUCAUCACUCAACUGGAGGAGGAGAACAAGAUGAAGACAGUCACCAGGAGGAGUUACUGAAGCAACCAUGUCUGUGUCCUUAAAGGAACUGUCAGAUGGUCAAUGUGCCAUAUGAUCAGGCAAGGGCCCUAAUAGAUAGUGAGAGCUCUGAUGGUAGUGAGAGCUCUGAGGGACAGAGUGUAGAGAGAGAGGACACCGUGGUGCAGGACACAGCGGUGCAGGACACAGCGGUGCAGGACACAGCGGUG